CAAGUGGAUCAGAUAGUCGCCGGCUGACGACAUUUUUGCCGCCAGCGGGAGGAAAGUCCGGGCUCCACAGGACAGGGUGGUCGAUAACGUCGACCGGUCGUGAGAUCAGGGAAAGUGCCGCAGAAAAUAUACCGCCUAAGUCCCUUCGGGGAACGGUAAGGGUGAAAUGGUGCGGUAAGAGCGCACCAGCAGCUGGGGUGACUCAGCUGGCUUGGUAAACCCCACCCGGAGCAAGGCAAACAGGCGGAAAACGCGUUGGCAACAACGCCGCACGGGCUCGUCCGGCCCGUCACCUACCGCCGGGUACGCUGCUAGAGACGUGGAGCAAUUCACGCCGUAGAGGAAUGACUAUCCCUGCACUCGUUGCAGGACAAAACCCGGCUUAUCGAUCCACUCGGGUC
rnacentral:RNase_P_RNA from 1 species